rnacentral:misc_RNA from 1 species
AAGUCGUAACAAGGUUUCCGUAGGUGAACCUGCGGAAGGAUCAUUAACAAUUUCAAAACAUCAACCUUUGUGAAUCGACCUUUGGUUAGGGUAGGCGAAAGUCUUAAAAGUCCCACAAAGGUGUGCUGUGUUGCAUCCUUUUUUUAAUUUGUUUACGGUGGUGGUGGUGGUGGUUGGUUUGUUGUAGUGUAGUGUAGUGUGGAAAGGGGGAAAAGGAGUGAGAUUUUUAUUGUAAAAAAUAAAUGUCUUUUUCAUUUUCUUCACAUACACAUACACAUAUACAUAUACAUAUACAUACUUAUUAUUCAUUCAUUACCUACUUUGCUUAUAUGAAAAAGGAUUGCGCACAACAAAUUAUAUAGACUAUUUCUAUUGACUAAAGUAAAGUAAAAAAUUCUAAAUGAAUACAACUUUUAACAGUGGAUCUCUUGGCUCUU